rnacentral:lncRNA from 1 species
GACACACUUCCAUGAUGACCUUGAGAUGACUGUAAGUUCAUGCUUGGUUGAAGCCACCCUGAGAUGUUCAAGGUUCUGACUGUGCUGCCAAAAGGAGGAGGGUGGGACCAGCUGUGGCAAGUGCCUCUGGUGAUGCCAAACUUCAGUGUAGAGUCCGGCGUAUCCUCACCAAGCACUGUAUGCUGCAAUCCCUCUCCUGCUGUUUACACUGGAGGGCUGACUUUCAGCAGGAUUGUGAGGUCAGAGGGUGAAGAAACAGAAGCAACUGCCCACAGGAAAUAUGCUGCAGCUUCCUCCACAGACAAGGAGUCCUAGGAGAGCCUGACUCCAUGGAAACAGCAUGUGUGCACAGCAUUCUUAGAGGCCCGCUCCAAUUCUCCUUAGAAGCUGCUGCGCCACUGUGGGUUUUCACAGUGCUCAAUCCUAAUCCGAAAUCCUUAAAACCAAAGCAGCAUCAUUGAAUCACAGACCAUCAGAAAAGAGAAGCUGCUGACUGCUCAGAUGCCCUCAGUGCACAGACGGGGCUUACAGAAGAGCCAAGGCGUUGCUUGCUGAAGUGUGGUGUUUACCUAUAAGGUUGACAUCACAUCAGUUGCACUGAACUUGAUUAAAGCUGCGCUCCACUGGCUCCCACAAAUGCCCUAAAACUUGGGAGAAUAAAAA